GGCGGCGUGCUUAACACAUGCAAGUCGAACGGAAAGGCCCCGCUCGCGGGGUACUCGAGUGGCGAACGGGUGAGUAACACGUGGGUGAUCUGCCCUGCACUUCGGGAUAAGCCUGGGAAACUGGGUCUAAUACCGGAUAUGACCUCCCUUUAGUGUGGGGGGUGGAAAGAUUUAUCGGUGCAGGAUGAGCCCGCGGCCUAUCAGCUUGUUGGUGGGGUAAUGGCCUACCAAGGCGUCGACGGGUAGCCGGCCUGAGAGGGUGGACGGCCACAUUGGGACUGAGAUACGGCCCAGACUCCUACGGGAGGCAGCAGUGGGGAAUAUUGCACAAUGGGCGGAAGCCUGAUGCAGCGACGCCGCGUGGGGGAUGACGGCCUUCGGGUUGUAAACCUCUUUCGACAGGGACGAAGUGAAAAUGACGGUACCUGUAUAAGAAGCACCGGCUAACUACGUGCCAGCAGCCGCGGUAAUACGUAGGGUGCGAGCGUUGUCCGGAAUUACUGGGCGUAAAGAGCUCGUAGGUGGUUUGUCACGUCGUCUGUGAAAUUCCGGGGCUUAACCUCGGGCGUGCAGGCGAUACGGGCAAUACUUGAGUGCUGUAGGGGAGACUGGAAUUCCUGGUGUAGCGGUGAAAUGCGCAGAUAUCAGGAGGAACACCAAUGGCGAAGGCAGGUCUCUGGGCAGUUACUGACGCUGAGGAGCGGAAGCAUGGGUAGCGAACAGGAUUAGAUACCCUGGUAGUCCAUGCCGUAAACGGUGGGCGCUAGGUGUAGGGGACUUCCACGUUCUCUGUGCCGUAGCUAACGCAUUAAGCGCCCCGCCUGGGGAGUACGGCCGCAAGGCUAAAACUCAAAUGAAUUGACGG
rnacentral:rRNA from 1 species